rnacentral:lncRNA from 1 species
CUCCUAUAACUUUGGCUCAUUGUGUAUUUCUAUCACCUUCCACAAUUUCGACUUUGCUUCUUGAUUUUGUAUCAUUUUUGCUCUAAAUUCUUUAAUCAUAGCCAUAGAAAAUGAAUUCCAUCCAGUAUUUAGAUUCUCUUCACACUAAUAAUAAAACCAUAACACUACUCUUUCAUCUUCCAUGCUCAAGAAUGUCCAUUGCAACUUAUCCUCAAAAUGAAUUUUGUUCUUCUCAAAGAAAAUUUCAACCAUAGAGAUCCAACCAACAAGAUCUGUCCCCAUAAAAUCUUGUAAUUCCCUUUUCAUACUCCAAACGUCUUCCAUCAGUGGCUCUCUGUGUAGUUAUUUAGCCGUUUCCGACAAUUAUCCAAAAGUUUCCGGCCGUUUUGGGCAGUUAUAUGGGAGUCAUCCACCAGUUUUG